rnacentral:rRNA from 1 species
GAUGAACGCUGGCGGCGUGCUUAAUACAUGCAAGUCGAACGAAGACUUCUCGCUGAAUUGAAUUCAUUCUUUUCUUGAGAUGUCUUAGUGGCGGACGGGUGAGUAACGCGUGGGUAACCUGCCUUACACAGGGGGAUAACAGUUAGAAAUGACUGCUAAUACCGCAUAAGCGCACAGUAUCGCAUGAUACAGUGUGAAAAACUCCGGUGGUGUAAGAUGGACCCGCGUCUGAUUAGCUAGUUGGUGAGGUAACGGCCCACCAAGGCGACGAUCAGUAGCCGGCCUGAGAGGGUGAACGGCCACAUUGGGACUGAGACACGGCCCAAACUCC